GAUGAACGCUGGCUACAGGCUUAACACAUGCAAGUCGAGGGGAAACGACGGGGAAGCUUGCUUCCCCGGGCGUCGACCGGCGCACGGGUGAGUAACGCGUAUCCAACCUGCCUCUGACUGAGGGAUAACCCGUCGAAAGUCGGCCUAAUACCUCAUGGCAUCGUCUGCGGGCAUCCAACGACGAUUAAAGAUUUCAUCGGUCAGAGAUGGGGAUGCGUCUGAUUAGCUUGUUGGCGGGGUAACGGCCGACCAAGGCGACGAUCAGUAGGGGUUCUGAGAGGAAGGUCCCCCACAUUGGAACUGAGACACGGUCCAAACUCCUACGGGAGGCAGCAGUGAGGAAUAUUGGUCAAUGGGCGAGAGCCUGAACCAGCCAAGUAGCGUGCAGGAUGACGGCCCUAUGGGUUGUAAACUGCUUUUAUGCGGGGAUAAAGUGAGGGACGUGUCCUUCAUUGCAGGUACCGCAUGAAUAAGGACCGGCUAAUUCCGUG
rnacentral:rRNA from 1 species